rnacentral:rRNA from 1 species
UUGUGAUGUAAAAAAUCGUAACAAGGUUUCCGUAGGUGAACCUGCGGAAGGAUCAUUACACAUUCGGGGCGCUUCGGCGCUCCUUAUACACCCACCCUCUGCCUACGUGUACCUCUAUAGCUUCCUCGGCGGGCUCGCCCGCCGCCAGGAACCCACGAAACCCCUUGCAUUAUACGCGAAAACUUCUGAUAACAAACCUAAAUUAUCACAACUUUCAACAAUGGAUCUCUUGGUUCUGGCAUCGAUGAAGAACGCAGCGAAAUGCGAUAAGUAGUGUGAAUUGCAGAAUUCAGUGAAUCAUCGAAUCUUUGAACGCACAUUGCGGCCAUAGGUAUUCCUUUGGCCAUGCCUGUUCGAGCGUCAUUUACACCCUCAAGCCUAGCUUGGUGUUGGGCGUCUGUCCCGCCGUUUUCGCGCGCGGACUCGCCUCAAAGUCAUUGGCGGCGGUCGUGCCGGCCCCUCGCGCAGCACAUUUGCGCUUCUCGGAGGCCCGGCGGAUCCGCGCUCCAGCAAGACCUUUCAUGACUGACCUCGGAUCAGGUGGGAUCCCG